AUAAUUUAGUCAUGUUUCUAAAUUAUUUGUCAAUAUUUAUAUGACUAACCUUUUUAUGCUUCAUUUAUAAAAUGUACUUAUAUCCCAAUAUUCUUAACAACAAAGUUUUUAAAAAGAAUCUUAACAUUGCACCAUAGUUUGAGUUUCGAUUUAUCUAAUAUAGUAUAAAGCGAUUUAGAAUUUAUAAAUGAUAUAUCAAGUUUACAUACAAAUAAAAUUAAAAAUUGAAACGAAUUCAGGAAACAUAUAUUCAGAACAUACUUGAUAAGGGAUGAUGAUGGGAUACUCAAACAUAUGUAAAGAACUGUAUGUCGUUAAAAAUAGAAUUUAGUGAGAGUUUUGGAUUCUGAAACCCAUGAAGGCUGUGAGCAAAAAGAAUCAUGUAAACGGUACUGGGUGCGUUUUAAAAAAAAAUCAUGUAAAACGUUUGAAACUCUUAGGUUUGACUGGUGAUUCAAAAGCAAUUUAGUAAAUUUGAAGUGAAAUACUAAUUAAUUAUAUAGUUCACAGCCACAAAUCUAACUUAGGAUAUGAUAGAAGCGACAUAAGAUAAGAGACUGAUUGGUAACUACAAACGUCAAAUAGAUAUUCUCCCUGUUCCCCUCU
rnacentral:lncRNA from 1 species